AUGAAAACCAGCCCAGCCCUGACCCUGCAGCACUGGGAGAGGAGCCCAGCCCUGGGAUUUUCAGGUGUCUCCAUUUGGUGAUCACGACUGAACUCACCAUGGAGUUUGUGCUGAGCUGGGUUUUCGUUGUUGCUAUUUUAAAAGGUGUCCAGUGUGAGGUGCAGCUGGUGGAGUCUGGGGGAGGCUUGGUUCAGCCCGGGGGGUCCCUGAGACUCUCCUGUGCAGCCUCUGGAUUCACCUUCAGCAGCUAUAGCAUGAAUUGGGUCCGCCAGGCUCCAGGGAAGGGGCUGGAGUGGGUUUCAUACAUUAGAUAUGAUGGCGGUAGCACAUACUACGCAGACUCCGUGAAGGGCCGAUUCACCAUCUCCAGAGACAACGCCAAGAACUCGCUGUAUCUGCAGAUGAACAGCCUGAGAGCCGAGGACACGGCCGUGUAUUACUGUGCGAGACACAGUGAGGGGAAGUCACAGGAGGACACAUCCUCACCUCCACAGAAGCCCGAGGGUAACCCUGUGUACAGAAAUGGCCCUCCCCUGGCCACCAGAAUCAGAGUCCCGAAGAAGCCCAGGAGAAGCUGGGAAGAGUUUUCCACUCGGAGUCAGGGCAGACAUCUCCGUGGGAAUCCCUGA